CAAAAUGUAUAGUUCAAAUAUUCAUUAGCACAUUACUUUCACACGGUAUCAUAAACGGCACUCUGUAUAAAUUCGGCAACAGUGUCCAAUACUUCUCACUCACAAAAACCACGCAUAGUGUCCAAUACUAUGCGGACAAAACCACGCAACAGUGUCCAAUACUUUGCGGACAAAACCACGCAUCAGUGUCCAAUACUGAGCGGAACCACGCA
rnacentral:lncRNA from 1 species